CUACGGGUCGCUGCAGUAGGGAAUAUUGGACAAUGGGCGAAAGCCUGAUCCAGCAACACCGCGUGCACGAUGGCGGCCUUCGGGUUGUAAAGUGCUUUUAGAGGAGAUGAGAAAGGACAGUAUCCUCUGAAUAAGCCUCGGCGAACUACGUGCCAGCAGCCGCGGUAAAACGUAGGAGGCAAGCGUUAUCCGGAUUUAUUGGGCGUAAAGCGCGUGCAGGCGGUCUAGCAAGUUGGAUGUGGAGAGCUCCCGGCUCAACUGGGAGAGGUCGUUCAAUACUGUUAGACUAGAGAAUAGGAGAGGGAGGUGGAAUUCCGGGUGUAGUGGUGAAAUGCGUAGAUAUCCGGAGGAACACCAGUGGCGAAAGCGGCCUCCUGGACUAUUUCUGACGCUAAGACGCGAAAGCUAGGGUAGCAAACGGGAUUAGAUACCCCCCGUAGUC
rnacentral:rRNA from 1 species